AAGUAAGAGAAGAAGAAGAAGGAAGAAGUAAAAGAAACUCAGUUACAUAAGAAUAUAGGUCCCUGAACUCAAUACCACUUGCAGCUGUGCUCUGAAGUGUCUCUACUUUGCUGAAGGCUUUCUCCUGGGAAAUGGCUCUAAAGUUUUGUGGACUGAAAGGACAAUAAAAUAGUUUGAC
rnacentral:lncRNA from 12 species